AGCUCCAAUAGCAUAUGUUAAUUUUGCUGCGGUUAAAAAGCUCGUAGUUGGACCUCAUUUUUGCUCAAAAAAAAAUAAUUUUUUUUUUUUUUUUUAUAUUGAGCUAAUAUGAAAAUUGUCACCAAUUCGUCACUAAAUUCCAGUUGCCGCACUUUGUGCAGCAGCGGAUAGUUGGCGAUGGUGGCAGGAUCACUUUGAAAAAAUUAGAGUGCUUAAAGCAAGCUAUGCACUUUACGAUGCCUGUAUGGUCGUGCAUGGAAUGAUGAAAUACGACCUCUGCCCUUUAAUCGGGGUUCGAGGUAAUGAUUAAAGGAAACAGACGGGGGCGUUCGUAUUGCGACGCGAGCGGUGAAAUGCGUUGACCGUCGCAGGACGACCUACUGCGAAAGCAUUCGCCAAG
rnacentral:rRNA from 1 species